rnacentral:rRNA from 2 species
UCUAAUACCGGAUAACACUCUCCAAAGCAUUUUGGGGGGUUAAAAGCUCCGGCGGUGAAGGAUGAGCCCGCGGCCUAUCAGCUUGUUGGUGGGGUAAUGGCCUACCAAGGCGACGACGGG